rnacentral:tRNA from 1 species
GUUAAUGUAGCUUAAUACAACAAAGCAAAGCACUGAAAAUGCUUAGAUGGAUUUUUAUAUCCCAUAAACA